rnacentral:rRNA from 1 species
CGGGGGGGCAAGCGUUGUCGGAAUUACUGGGCGUAAAGGGCCAGUAGGCGGCAACUAAGUCCGACGUGAAAUCCCCAGGCUUAACCUGGGAACUGCGUCGGAUACUGGAUGGCUUGAAUUCGGGAGAGGGAUGCAGAAUUCCAGGUGUAGCGGUGAAAUGCGUAGAUAUCUGGAGGAAUACCGGUGGCGAAGGCGGCAUCCUGGACCGACAUUGACGCUGAACGGCGAAAGCUAGGGGAGCAAACGGGAUUAGAUUCCCCGGUAGUCCUAGCCCUAAACGAUGAAUGCUUGGUGUGGCGGGUAUCGAUCCCUGCCGUGCCGAAGCUAACGCAUUAAGCAUUCCGCCUGGGGAGUACGGUCGCAAGGCUG